rnacentral:lncRNA from 1 species
AAGAAACUAUAUAUUAUAUUAAAAUUUUACAGUUUAAAUAUAUAUAUUGUCCUAGCAAAUAUUUUACAAUUUGUUUUUAGUCACGGUUAUUUUUGAGGUUUUUGCUUUGGAUCUAUCAAAUAUUCUUCGAUUUUAUUUUAGACUUGUUUUUGAAAUUAGCAUUGUAUCAUGUGAAAUUUUUAUAUUAUUGACUUAAAAGAAUAAAAUCAAAUACUAAAUAUAUUACAAACAUUAAAAUAAAAUAACAAGAUAAACAAAAAAAAAUGUAAGGACUGACACCAAGUACUUACAUGGAUUUAAACAAAAAUUCUACAUAAUUGAAAUAUACAAUUACAUAUAUAAGCCAAAUGUUAAACAAUAAUUCCAUGUUACCACCACAAAACUAUGUAAUAAGUUUAAAUUUAGAUUUAAUUUUAAUUUGAGAGAUGCAGAUGAAGCG